CAUCCAUGGAUAGGUUCAUAACCAAUUAUUUCUCCAAAUAAUUUCUAGCAAUCAGAUUUUACCUCAGGCAUCCCUUCAGCAGGUGUGUGGUACUAUUGUGCCCUAUUUUUAGAUGUGUGGAGUACCUCCCAUCAAGAGAUCAAUGAAGAAAACUUUCUGGAAGGGGAUGAAACACGUUGAAGAAGAAUAGCCUUUCUGGUUGCAGCAGCCGUGUAAAUCCUGUCGAUAGAAUUUCUUUCUUCGAUUUGAACUCCUUCUCCAUCAAAUCUAAAAUCCACCUUUUGG
rnacentral:lncRNA from 1 species